rnacentral:pre_miRNA from 1 species
GAUUUCAAUUGAAAAAGUCAUCAACAACGAAGUUGUAUAACUCAUCAAGAUCUAUAACUUUUAUCUUGGUCGUUUCUUCAUCCGACAAAGUGAUAGUAACAUUGUUUAUAAAAUUUACAUCUGUCUCACCUGGUUCUAUAAACUAUAAGAGAGAUAUGUAAACUUUGUGAACAAUGUUACUAUCACUUUAUUGGAUGAAGAAAUGGCCAAAAUAAAAGUUGUAUGUCUUGAUGAGCUCUACAACUUUUAUGUUCAUGACUUUUUCAGCUGAAAUU